UACGUAGGGAGCAAGCGUUGUCCGGAAUCAUUGGGCGUAAAGCGCGCGUAGGCGGCUCGAUCAGUCUGCUGUGAAAGUCAAAGGCUCAACCUUUGAAUGCCGAUGGAUACUGUCGAGCUAGAGUCCGGAAGAGGCGAGUGGAAUUCCUGGUGUAGCGGUGGAAUGCGCAGAUAUCAGGAGGAACACCAAUGGCGAAGGCAGCACUCUGGGACGUGACUGACGCUGAGACGCGAAAGCGUGGGGAGCAAACAGG
rnacentral:rRNA from 1 species